rnacentral:rRNA from 1 species
CGCAAGCCUGACGGAGCAAGACCGCGUGGGGGAGGAAUGCCUUAGGGUUGUAAACCCCUUUUAUCUGGGAAGAACAAAAUGACGGUACCAGAUGAAUAAGCCUCGGCUAACUCCGUGCCAGCAGCCGCGGUAAUACGGGGGAUGCAAGCGUUAUCCGGAAUUAUUGGGCGUAAAGAGUCCGUAGGUGGUCUUACAAGUCGACUGUCAAAGCCCGCAGCUUAACUGCGGAGAGGCGGUGGAAACUGUGAGACUUGAGUAUGGUAGGGGUAGAGGGAAUUCCCAGUGUAGCGGUGAAAUGCGUAGAUAUUGGGAAGAACACCGGUGGCGAAAGCGCUCUACUGGACCAUAACUGACACUGAGGGACGAAAGCCAAGGUAGCG